rnacentral:rRNA from 1 species
UACGUAGGUGGCAAGCGUUGUCCGGAAUUAUUGGGCGUAAAGCGCGCGCAGGCGGUCCUUUAAGUCUGAUGUGAAAGCCCACGGCUCAACCGUGGAGGGUCAUUGGAAACUGGGGGACUUGAGUGCAGAAGAGGAAAGCGGAAUUCCACGUGUAGCGGUGAAAUGCGUAGAGAUGUGGAGGAACACCAGUGGCGAAGGCGGCUUUCUGGUCUGUAACUGACGCUGAGGCGCGAAAGCGUGGGGAGCAAACAGGAUUAGAUACCCUGGUAGUCCACGCCGUAAACGAUGAGUGCUAAGUGUUAGAGGGUUUCCGCCCUUUAGUGCUGCAGCUAACGCAUUAAGCACUCCGCCUGGGGAGUACGGCCGCAAGGCUGAA